GGGGAAGGGUAGCUUGCUACCUGACCUAGCGGCGGACGGGUGAGUAAUGCUUAGGAAUCUGCCUAUUAGUGGGGGACAACAUUCCGAAAGGAAUGCUAAUACCGCAUACGCCCUACGGGGGAAAGCAGGGGAUCUUCGGACCUUGCGCUAAUAGAUGAGCCUAAGUCAGAUUAGCUAGUUGGUGGGGUAAAGGCCUACCAAGGCGACGAUCUGUAGCGGGUCUGAGAGGAUGAUCCGCCACACUGGGACUGAGACACGGCCCAGACUCCUACGGGAGGCAGCAGUGGGGAAUAUUGGACAAUGGGCGAAAGCCUGAUCCAGCCAUGCCGCGUGUGUGAAGAAGGCCUUUUGGUUGUAAAGCACUUUAAGCGAGGAGGAGGCUACUGAGAUUAAUACUCUUGGAUAGUGGACGUUACUCGCAGAAUAAGCACCGGCUAACUUUGUGCCAGUAGCCGCGGUAAUACAGAGGGUGCGAGCGUUAAUCGGAUUUACUGGGCGUA
rnacentral:rRNA from 1 species